GCCUGGUUGCCGUUUGCCGUUUUUUCUUCUCUUUUAUUGUUAUUAACUAAAAUAAGGUAGUUCGUAUUCUCUUUUGAACUUUGUUACAGUAAUCAAUCAGCGCUCUCACUACUUGUAAUGGGGUUUGCUCAUUGUUGAAGCCCGUAUGAUGACAUGUAGCACCUUUCUUGAAACAUUACGCGUUGAUCGUUUGGUGGAUAGUUG
rnacentral:lncRNA from 1 species